rnacentral:rRNA from 1 species
AUUGAACGCUGGCGGCAUGCUUUACACAUGCAAGUCGAACGGCAGCGCGGGCUUCGGCCUGGCGGCGAGUGGCGAACGGGUGAGUAAUACAUCGGAACGUGCCCAGUAGUGGGGGAUAGCUCGGCGAAAGCCGGAUCAAUACCGCAUACGACCUGAGGGUGAAAGCGGGGGAUCUUCGGACCUCGCGCUAUUGGAGCGGCCGAUGGCAGAUUAGCUAGUUGGUGGGGUAAAGGCCUACCAAGGCGACGAUCUGUAGCUGGUCUGAGAGGACGACCAGCCACACUGGGACUGAGACACGGCCCAGACUCCUACGGGAGGCAGCAGUGGGGAAUUUUGGACAAUGGGCGAAAGCCUGAUCCAGCAAUGCCGCGUGUGUGAUGAAGGCCUUCGGGUUGUAAAGCACUUUUGGCGGGAACGAAAAGGACUGUGCCAAUACCACGGUUCGAUGACGGUACCCGCAGAAUAAGCACCGGCUAACUACGUG